CCAAAUCGUGGUUGUUAUUACAGUAAGUAGAAAAGGAAAGAAAAGAGAAGAAGAACAAGAAGAAACGAGAAGGAAGAAAAAGAAGUGCGGAGAGAGCUUCUUCACUUGAGGCUGCUCUUGGAUCAGCAAAGCCCACAGGGGUCUGGACAUACUGUCCCUGAAUACAAGCCAGUAGAGGCGUUGGCCAUUUUUAGCCGUUAAUUGGUAGGACAAUCAAUAUGAGAGAGAGAGAGAGAGAGAGCAGUAUUUGUCAAUGUCCUUAUCUCUAUAUUUGUAGUCUCUAUGUUGAGCAUGGAAGAAAACAUCAUUAUUUAUAACGAAUAAAGAGAAUCAUUUUGUGAUUCAAA